rnacentral:rRNA from 1 species
GUCCACGCCCUAAACGAUGUCAACUAGUUGUCGGGGAAGUUAUUCCUUGGUAACGAAGCUAACGCGUGAAGUUGACCGCCUGGGGAGUACGGCCGCAAGGUUAAAACUCAAAGGAAUUGACGGGGACCCGCACAAGCGGUGGAUUAUGUGGAUUAAUUCGAUGCAACGCGAAAAACCUUACCUACCCUUGACAUGUCAGGAACCUCGCAGAGAUGUGAGGGUGCCCGAAAGGGAACCUGAACACAGGUGCUGCAUGGCUGUCGU